AUACUUAUCUGGCAGGGGAGACACCAUGAUCACUGAUCACAGGGUGAGGCUUAGCCGUUGCACUCAGAUUGUGCUGACCCCUCUGAAUUCCCCAAAUGUGGGAAUUUCGACUGCAUAAUUUCUGGUAGUGGGGGUCUGCGUUCGUGCUCUCCCCUG